CCUGCCCAUGAAUACACUGCAGUUGUGAUUGCUGUGCUAGAUAAGCAUCAGUAGGUGACAGAGAGGAGCAAGGCUGCAUUUAUGCUUAAUUUUCUGACCUAUAAAUAUCUGAAUGAUUAAUAGCCUAAUAUU